GAUUAGUGGCGAACGGGUGAGUAACACGUGAGUAACCUGCCCUUGACUCUGGGAUAAGCCUGGGAAACUGGGUCUAAUACCGGAUAUGACUCCUCAUCGCAUGGUGGGGGGUGGAAAGCUUUUUGUGGUUUUGGAUGGACUCGCGGCCUAUCAGCUUGUUGGUGAGGUAAUGGCUUACCAAGGCGACGACGGGUAGCCGGCCUGAGAGGGUGACCGGCCACACUGGGACUGAGACACGGCCCAGACUCCUACGGGAGGCAGCAGUGGGGAAUAUUGCACAAUGGGCGAAAGCCUGAUGCAGCGACGCCGCGUGAGGGAUGACGGCCUUCGGGUUGUAAACCUCUUUCAGUAGGGAAGAAGCGAAAGUGACGGUACCUGCAGAAGAAGCGCCGGCUAACUACGUGCCAGCAGCCGCGGUAAUACGUAGGGCGCAAGCGUUAUCCGGAAUUAUUGGGCGUAAAGAGCUCGUAGGCGGUUUGUCGCGUCUGCCGUGAAAGUCCGGGGCUCAACUCCGGAUCUGCGGUGGGUACGGGCAGACUAGAGUGAUGUAGGGGAGACUGGAAUUCCUGGUGUAGCGGUGAAAUGCGCAGAUAUCAGGAGGAACACCGAUGGCGAAGGCAGGUCUCUGGGCAUUAACUGACGCUGAGGAGCGAAAGCAUGGGGAGCGAACAGGAUUAGAUACCCUGGUAGUCCAUGCCGUAAACGUUGGGCACUAGGUGUGGGGGACAUUCCACGUUUUCCGCGCCGUAGCUAACGCAUUAAGUGCCCCGCCUGGGAGUACGGCCGCAAGGCUAAAACUCAAAGGAAUUGACGGGGGCCCGCACAAGCGGCGGAGCAUGCGGAUUAAUUCGAUGCAACGCGAAGAACCUUACCAAGGCUUGACAUGGACUGGAAAUACCUGGAAACAGGUGCCCCGCUUGCGGUCGGUUCACAGGUGGUGCAUGGUUGUCGUCAGCUCGUGUCGUGAGAUGUUGGGUUAAGUCCCGCAACGAGCGCAACCCUCGUUCUAUGUUGCCAGCGCGUAAUGGCGGGGACUCAUAGGAGACUGCCGGGGUCAACUCGGAGGAAGGUGGGGACGACGUCAAAUCAUCAUGCCCCUUAUGUCUUGGGCUUCACGCAUGCUACAAUGGCCGGUACAAAGGGUUGCGAUACUGUGAGGUGGAGCUAAUCCCAAAAAGCCGGUCUCAGUUCGGAUUGGGGUCUGCAACUCGACCCCAUGAAGUCGGAGUCGCUAGUAAUCGCAGAUCAGCAACGCUGCGGUGAAUACGUUCCCGGGCCUUGUACACACCGCCCGUCAAGUCACGAAAGUUGGUAACACCCGAAGCC
rnacentral:rRNA from 1 species